rnacentral:rRNA from 1 species
CAGGCCUAACACAUGCAAGUCGAGCGAGAUCUUCGGGUCUAGCGGCGGACGGGUGAGUAACGCGUGGGAAUCUGCCCUUAGGUACGGAAUAACUCGGGGAAACUCGUGCUAAUACCGUAUGACGACGUAAGUCCAAAGAUUUAUCGCCGAGGGAUGAGCCCGCGUAGGAUUAGCUAGUUGGUGUGGUAAAGGCGCACCAAGGCGACGAUCCUUAGCUGGUCUGAGAGGAUGAUCAGCCACACUGGGACUGAGACACGGCCCAGACUCCUACGGGAGGCAGCAGUGGGGAAUAUUGGACAAUGGGCGAAAGCCUGAUCCAGCAAUGCCGCGUGAGUGAUGAAGGCCUUAGGGUUGUAAAGCUCUUUUACCCGGGAUGAUAAUGACAGUACCGGGAGAAUAAGCUCCGGCUAACUCCGUGCCAGCAGCCGCGGUAAU